GCUGGGCAUGGUGGUGCAUGUCUGUAAUUCCAGCAACUUGGGAGGCUGAGGCAGGAGGAUUGCAAGUUCAAGGUCAGCCUCAGCAAAUUAACAAGGCCCUAAGCAAUUUUGUGGAGAAACUGUCUCAA
rnacentral:sRNA from 1 species